CCUGAUUGAGAGGGGGAUUAAAAGGUCAUCACCUCUAUUUGUAUCCAUGGGGAUGGAGAAGAGUAGAGGGAGACAAGCUGGACACCAUCAUGAAUCAUCCUGACAUCCUGGGGGCCAGAAUAUUGACUAGAAAAUAAGUGUCCUGGUCCUGAGAGUCUAGGGGAGAGGAGAUGUCAAGGGAAUCUUUAAGUCCUCUUUCUCCAUCCAGCCCCCGGUGAACACUCAGUAAACGUUUGCUGAAUGAAUGAACACCCUGUCUGCAGCAGAACAUGGACAAAUAGGCUCUGCCAUCAGUAAAUGAGAAGCAAGAGAACAGGCUAAACUCAAGAGGACAGAGGCUGGUGAGGAGGUAAAGCAGGCCCAAUGAAAUGGAUCAGAGAGCCCAAACUGUCAGAGAGGAGGAAAGCAGAUAAAACAACUGAGUCGCAGGGAGAUCUGUUACUUACCUAAGGCCACAGUUAGCAACAAGCCAAUAUUCAAAUCCAGAUGGUUUUUACUCCCAAGGACAAUAAAUCCAACUCAAUGAACCAAA